UAAGGUAAAACACCCAAUCUUCGACAAGGCACCAAUGUCCGACAUUAAAAAAGUUUUCAAAAUAAAAUAAGAAUAUUUUCUGACUUCUUAACGCAUUCGAAGCAUAAACUAUAGACCAGGGUUAUCUAGCUGUCAUUGCGGAUGACGUUUCAUACAUUCGGCCAUUUUGUACAAAAUGGCGUAAUGAUAUGUUUAGUCCGCGGUAGAUUUCGAAAGAAAUCCAGUUGUAUUAGUGAAAUCGUUAAGGAGGUUGCAGGCAUGGCGCCUAAAAAAAAUUACACGCCUCUUCAAAUGGCCCAGGCGGUAGAAGCAGUCAGAAAAAAGAAAAAACUAUUUUAUAAUAUAGAGGAUUAAAAAAAUUAAAACAUUAACACCAUAGCGUUAAAAUUAUUAGUUACUUAAGUACAACAAUUACCAAAGCAUUACAUGCCAA